rnacentral:rRNA from 1 species
UACAGGGGGGGCAAGGCGUUGUUCGGAAUUACUGGGCGUAAAGGGCCAGUAGGCGGCCAACUAAGUCACACGUGAAAUCCCCAGGCUUAACCUGGGAACUGCGUGUGAUACUGGAUGGCUUGAAUUCGGGAGAGGGAUGCAGAAUUCCAGGUGUAGCGGUGAAAUGCGUAGAUAUCUGGAGGAAUACCGGUGGCGAAGGCGGCAUCCUGGACCGACAUUGACGCUGAACGGCGAAAGCUAGGGGAGCAAACGGG